rnacentral:tRNA from 1 species
GGGAAUGUGGCUUAGUGGUAGGGUGCCUGCCUAGCAUGCAUGAAACUCUGGGUUCAAUUCCUCAGUACCA